CCCCCNCANUNAAGGGUNAGAGCCCCGUNNGGUAGGAUGCCAAGCCUAUGUAANGCUCCUUCGACAAGUCGGAGUAGUUUGGGAANNCUGCUCAAAAUGGGAGGUANAUGUCUUCUAAAGCUAAAUACCGNCCAGAGACCGAUAGCGCNCAAGUAGAGGUGAUCGAAAGAUGAAAAGCACUUUGAAAAGAGGGUUAAAAAGUACGUGAAAUUGUUGAAAGGNAAGCGCCUAUGACCAGNCUUGGGCCCGGUGAAUCAUCCAGCGUUCUCGCUGGUGCACUUUGCCGGGCACAGGCCAGCAUCAGUUUGGCGCGGGGGAUAAAGGCUUCGGGAAUGUGGCUCCCCUCGGGGAGUGUUAUAGCCCGUUGUGUAAUACCCUGCGCCGGACUGAGGUACGCGCUCCGCAAGGAUGCUGGCGUAAUGGUCACCAUAGA
rnacentral:rRNA from 1 species